CUGCUCGCCUCGGCAGCACAUACACUGAAACUGGAAUGAUACCGAGAAAACUAGCAUGGCCCCUGGACAAGGAUGGCACGCAAAUUCGUGAAGCCCUCCGUAUUUUU
ensembl:snRNA U6 U6 spliceosomal RNA